AUUGGGCCUAGUCCAAGAGGAAACUCGAGUUCCAAAGAAGCCAGAAAUCUCGAGAGGAAGAGGAGGAAGAAAGAGAGUGGCGGUGGAAGAAGAAGGAGAGCAUGAUGAAGAUGAAGAUGGAGAAUCUAGGGUUUGGAAACUUCUAGAAACAUAUGAAGAAGAAGGAGUUGGAGGAUUCAAUAGCAUGGCUGAUUGCAUCUCUUCGUAUCAAAUUACCCAAAAUUCAAUCAAAUUCACCAAAUUUGAUGAUUUUUGUUUCUGAAAAUCAAAAAAUAUUUGAUUGCUUUCUCUCACUUUCCCUUCUUGCUUUUUCUUUUUUUUCCUUCUUCUAUUUGUAUUUUG
rnacentral:misc_RNA from 1 species